rnacentral:rRNA from 1 species
CCCGCACAAGCGGAGGAGCAUGUGGUUAAUUCGAUGAUACGCGAGGAACCUUACCUGGGCUCGAACGUAAGAUGACUGUAGGUGAAAGCUUACAUCUCUUCGGAGCAUUUUACGAGGUGCUGCAUGGUUGUCGUCAGCUCGUGCCGUGAGGUGUCGGGUUAAGUCCCAUAACGAGCGCAACCCUACCUUUAGUUGCCAUCAGGUAAUGCUGGGGACUCUAAAGGAACUGCCUACGCAAGUAGUGAGGAAGGCGGGGAUGACGUCAAAUCAGCACGGCCCUUACGUCCAGGGCUACACACGUGCUACAAUGGCCGAUACAGAGGGCAGCUACCUGGUGACAGGAUGCAAAUCUCCAAAGUCGGUCUCAGUUCGGAUCGGAGUCUGCAACCCGACUCCGUGAAGUUGGAUUCGCUAGUAAUCGCGCAUCAGCCAUGGCGCGGUGAAUACGUUCCCGGGCCUU